AUGCUAAGCAUGAACAGCGAAAGAGUCUUCAAGCCAUCGACGACAUCAAUACCGCACCGUCGACCAAAAUCUUCCUGCAAACCCAAACAAGAUUCUGGGAGGAUGAAAACUACAAUAUCCAAGGUGGCUUUUCCAAGACCAACCUCCCAAUCGGCCAAAUACAUUACGUCAAGCCGGACCCGAAAUAUGUCAAUUCCACGAAGCAAGGAAUAAUUAUGGUUUACAUUUGGAACAAUGACG